GUCUUCGUGGUAUAGUGGUCAGCACGCUUGGCUCGUAUUCGAGAGGUCCAUGUUUCGAGUCUCGGCGAGGACA
rfam:Stegodyphus mimosarum contig124606, whole genome shotgun sequence.